ensembl:lncRNA
UGGGUAUUUGCCAUAUGGGUUUUGUUGGACCACCUGGGCUGGAAAUGCCCAGAGUUCCCAGUUGUGGUGUGACCCAAUUAGCUCCGUGUUGGCAAUCCAUCCAGAAAUCCAGGAAGGAAAAUUCCCAUUGAUACUGAGUUCAUUUCUCUUCUGACAACAGCUGUGGUUUCGAGAGUGGUACCAGGAAACACAGAAUCACAGCUCGAAGCCAACAAAUGGCAGGCCCUCUGUGUGCUAUUUCAGCGAGUCGGAGAAGUGCUCCUCCACCACUCUCCCCAGCCAUGCGCCAGCUUCAGAAGAUGCACGUUAGGCCAGCGGUCAUCACCUGAACAGAGCAGUGCAUGAAGCUGGAAGGGAAGCAGCUGCUUACAAGCUCUGGAGAGAUGGCAUGUGCAGCACUCGACAUACUCAUGGUACUUCCUUGAAGAUGAGCCCCUGACCUGGAGCUGAAGCCAUUGGCACCCAAAGAGUUCUGCCCAGAUGUGUGCCCGCCUUCUGCUCAGAGCAGCAGAGCCGAUGAAACACACACUGCACAGCAGCUUGCGAUGCAUGGGAAAGGCUGGACGGGCUGGAGCAGCUCCUCCGAGCUCCUGGUGUACAACAGCACAAAAUGCAAUUGGUCAGAGCGUGAUCAGACUCGCAUAGUUGGAAUACCAAAGGAGCGAGUCACCUUCCACUCUUGCUGUAGCCAGCGUUAGGAAGAGAUGUCCAGGUCUGCAACAGACUGUUUUCUCCUUUUGUUUGGAUGUGAAGGGUUCUGUUCUUCACAGAAGCAGGAACAGACCCCCCACUCAUUGAUUUGCAUCCAGGAAACGGAAGGUAACUGAUAUCAGGGAGACGGACGAGGUGAUUGUAUCCAUGACAACCAGCAGAUACAGCCUUGCUGCCUGGCAGCCCUUCCCUGGUCACCUCCUCUGCCUUCCCAGCUCCAGUGGGUCCCUCUCCUCGAGGCACCUCUUGGUGCAGUUCAGUGUUCCUGAGAAGUAGCUGACAAAUUCCCAAAUGUAGUGUGGCGAGAGCUUAAUCAGUUCUCAUGUCCAUCAGCAGAACGCUUCCCCAAUCUGAGCUGCAUCUGCUUCUGCCAAGGACUCCCUGGCAGCCCCAAAGGUGGCUUCAGGAAAUCCGGUCCAUGGAGGAACAGCAUGACUUGCAGGAGCACUGCACAGAUGCAGGUUGGGCUCAGAACCAGCAGGCAAAAUACAGCAUGCAGCCUGAAAGCAUUUCAGGUAUGCCAACCACCUUAACAAAUGCAGGAAUCAGUGAAUCGAGCAAGGCAGCAGGAUGCUCGCCUCUGCUGGAAGCGCUGGCAGAAGUUAAAUGUGUUGUUCUCUGAGCAGAGCUUCAAUCUGCACAUGUCCUUCUGGGAGGAGAGCUGCCUGCACUGCAGUCCCCGAGGAGUUCCUCACCCCACACCUGCUGGAGUGUCCCUCCUGCAUUCCAGACCUGCCCUGGAGAACGCUGCCACGUGAGGCAGUGCACAGCAGUGAGGAAUGGAAAGAAAUCUGUCACAAAAGGAAAAAGCAAUUCUGCUGCUGAAUCCAGCCAGAGCUCCUUGUUUGCAGGACUCCUGCUGUAUAUCGUCAGUGUGGUGUUUGAACCAUAAUAAGGAAAAAUGUCUCCCUGGGAUCAAAAAAAAAAAGUUGAUUUCUCAUCUCUUCCUCUGCACUGGAAAAACAAAGCAGAAGAGGUGAGGAAAUGAGAGCCUGAACUGAGAGCUGGGCGUUAGAAGACAGGACGUGGAGUUCAAGUUCUGUCCUGAUGAGCUAUUGAAAACAUGACUCAGUUUCCCUAUUAGUGAUGGGGUUAACAACGAGCUGAUGAGUGAAUCUUAAAAAUGCAAAGAAGGUUGCUGUAAACUCUAAUUAAAGGCCCUCUGAGUGUAUACACAAAGCAGAUUACAAGAGUCUGUCUUUGUAAAUUGCAGCAGGCAUUUGGGAUUCGGCUUGUGUGUUUUCAUGCCUGCAAUCUCUUUGCAUCUCCUUAUAUGUGUAAAAGCAGCGUAGCAUGAAGCCCACAGUUAAAGAAAGAUGCUUCCUGGCUCCAGGAGGAACGAAUGGAUACUGUGAGCUGUGGGAGCACCACACAGCCGGGUGGA